AUUGAACGCUGGCGGCAGGCCUAACACAUGCAAGUCGAACGGUAGCACAGAGGAGCUUGCUCCUUGGGUGACGAGUGGCGGACGGGUGAGUAAUGUCUGGGAAACUGCCCGAUGGAGGGGAUAACAGUUGGAAACGACUGCUAAUACCGCAUGACACAUCGGAGUCGCAUGGCUCUGAUGUCAAAGAUUUAUCGCUGAAAGAUGGCCUCGCGUCUGAUUAGCUAGUUGGUGAGGUAACGGCCCACCAAGGCGACGAUCAGUAGCCGGACUGAGAGGUUGAACGGCCACACUGGAACUGAGACACGGUCCAGACUCCUACGGGAGGCAGCAGUGGGAAUCUUCCGCAAUGGGCGAAAGCCUGACGGAGCAACGCCGCGUGAGUGAUGACGGCC
rnacentral:rRNA from 1 species